UACAGAGGGGGCAAGCGUUGUUCGGAAUUACUGGGCGUAAAGGGCGCGUAGGCGCCUUCUAAGUCGAACGUGAAAUCCCCGGGCUCAACCCGGGAACUGCGUCCGAUACUGGAAGGCUUGAAUCCGGGAGAGGGAUGUGGAAUUCCAGGUGUAGCGGUGAAAUGCGUAGAUAUCUGGAGGAACACCGGGUGGCGAAGGCGACAUCCUGGACCGGUAUUGACGCUGACGGC
rnacentral:rRNA from 1 species